rnacentral:snoRNA from 1 species
CCUGCCUCCAGAGUGUUGCAGGUGUGGCUGCUGUGUCACAUGUGCAUCAGUAGGUGGCAGCAGGAGGAGAGAAGCUACACUCUGUUCUGACUUAUGAGCAUCUGAAUGAUUCGAUUAGUAACCUAACAUU